rnacentral:rRNA from 1 species
GAUGAACGCUGGCGGCGUGCCUAAUACAUGCAAGUCGAGCGAACAGAUGAGGAGCUUGCUCCUCUGACGUUAGCGGCGGACGGGUGAGUAACACGUGGAUAACCUACCUAUAAGACUGGGAUAACUUCGGGAAACCGGAGCUAAUACCGGAUAAUAUAUUGAACCGCAUGGUUCAAUAGUGAAAGACGGUUUUGCUGUCACUUAUAGAUGGAUCCGCGCCGCAUUAGCUAGUUGGUAAGGUAACGGCUUACCAAGGCAACGAUGCGUAGCCGACCUGAGAGGGGGAGCGGCCCCACCGGAACUGAGACACCGUCCAGACCCCGACGGGAAGGCGCAGGUGGGAAUCUCUCGCAAUUGGGGAAAGCCUGACGGAGCAACGCCGCGGGAGGGAAUAAGGGCUUCGGAUCCGAAAACCUUUUUUUUAGGGAAAAACAAAUGUGUAAGGAAAUAUGCACGGCUUGACGGGAACCAAACAGAAAGCCACGGCUAACUACGUG